rnacentral:rRNA from 1 species
UACGUAGGUGGCAAGCGUUGUCCGGAAUUAUUGGGCGUAAAGCGCGCGCAGGCGGUUUUUUAAGUCUGAUGUGAAAGAUCGGGGCUCAACCCCGAGAGGUCAUUGGAAACUGGGAAACUUGAGUGCAGAAGAGGAGAGUGGAAUUCCAUGUGUAGCGGUGAAAUGCGUAGAUAUAUGGAGGAACACCAGUGGCGAAGGCGACUCUCUGGUCUGUAACUGACGCUGAGGCGCGAAAGCGUGGGGAGCAAACAGG